ACUUUUUGUAGAACGGACCGGCGAGUUACGUUAUGCAGCAAGGUUAAGAACUGAAGGUUCGGAGCCGAAGCGAAAGCGAGUCUGAAUAGGGCGAAAGUUGCAUGACGUAGACCCGAAACCGGGUGACCUAUCCAUGAGCAGGUUGAAGUGGAGGUAAAGCUCCAUGGAGGACCGAACCAGACGUCUGUUGAAAAAGGCGGGGAUGACUUGUGGAUAGGGGAGAAAUUCCAAUCGAACCCGGAGAUAGCUGGUUCUCCUCGAAAUAGCUUUAGGGCUAGCCUCAUGGAUCAUUGGUGGGGGUAGAGCACUGAAUGUGCGCGGGGGCCACAAAGCCUACCAAACGCUAUCAAACUUCGAAUACCAUACAAUGCAGACCAUGGGAGUCAGUCCGCGAGAGAUAAGUUCCGCGGGCAAAAGGGGAACACCCCAGAUCAACCGCUAAGGUCCCCAAGUUCACGUUAAGUGGAGAAGGAUGUGGAAUUGCACAGACAACCAGGAUGUUGGCUCAGAAGCAGCCACACAUUUAAAGAGUGCGUAAUAGCUCACUGGUCGAGUGAUUGUGCGCCGAAGAUGUCCGGGGCUAAACGUGACACCGAAGCGAUGGGUGCAUCUGAAAGGAUGCGCGGUAGAGGAGCAAUGUGCAGAGGCAGAAGCCGUAUCGAGAGGCACGGUGGACACUGCACAAGAGAGAAUGCCGGUAUGAGUAGCGAGAGGCAUGCGAGAAACAUGCCCGUCGAAAGCCCAAGGUUUCCUGGGGAAGGUUCAUCCGCCCAGGGUAAGUCGGGGCCUAAGCCGAGGACGGAAGUCGUAGGCGAUGGACAGCAGGUGUAGAUUCCUGCACUACCGAUGGAAUGAAGCAGUGACACAGAAGGAUAACUCGAGCAGGGUGAUGGUCAACCCUGUGCAAGCAUCAAGGUUGGGUUGUAGUGAAGUACGCAACCCUAUAAGCUGAGGUGUGAUGCGGACCGAAAUUUCAGUAGGGAAGCGAGUGAGUUCACGCUGGCGAGAAAAGCUGCUAGUACAUCCAAAGGUACCCGUACCGGAAACCGACGCAGGUGGGCGAGGAGAGAAUCCUGAGACGACGGGGAGAACCCUUGUUAAGGAACUCGGCAAAAUGACCCCGUAACUUCGGGAUAAGGGGUGCCUGCGAGAGCAGGCCGCAGAGAAUAGUCACAAGCGACUGUUUAGCAAAAACACAGGUAUCUGCGAAAGCGAGAGCUGACGUAUAGGUGCUGACACCUGCCCGGUGCUGGAAGGUUAAGGGAACAUGUUAGAGCAAUCGAAGCAUCGAACCGAAGCCCCAGUAAACGGCGGCCGUAACUAUAACGGUCCUAAGGUAGCGAAAUUCCUUGUCGGGUAAGUUCCGACCCGCACGAAUGGUGUAACGACUUGUGAGCUGUCUCAACAGGGGGCCCGGUGAAAUUGAAGUAUGGGUGAAGAUGCCCAUUACCCGCGACUGGACGGAAAGACCCCGUAGAGCUUUACUGCAGCCUGAUAUUGAGUUUCGGUAACUGAUGCACAGGAUAGGUGGGAGUCUGAGAGACAUGGGUUUCGGCUCAUGAGGAGACGGUGUUGGGAUACCACUCUUCGGUUACUGAAAUUCUAACAUAGCUCUGUGAAACCAGAGGAUGGACAGUGUCAGGUGGACAGUUUGACUGGGGCGGUCGCCUCCGAAAGAGUAACGGAGGCGCCCAAAGGUACCCUCAGAAUGGAUGGAAACCAUUCGAAGAGCGCAAAGGCAGAAGGGUGCCUGACUGCGAGAGUGACAACUCGAGCAGAGACGAAAGUCGGGCUUAGUGAUCCGGCGGUAUUGAGUGGAAAAGCCGUCGCUUAACGGAUAAAAGCUACCUCGGGGAUAACAGGCUGAUCUCCC
rnacentral:rRNA from 1 species